rnacentral:rRNA from 1 species
GACGAACGCUGGCGGCACGCUUAACACAUGCAAGUCGAACGAGAGAAGAGAAGCUUGCUUUUCUGAUCUAGUGGCGGACGGGUGAGUAACGCGUGAGCAAUCUGCCUUUCAGAGGGGGAUACCGAUUGGAAACGAUCGUUAAUACCGCAUAAUAUAAUUGAACCGCAUGAUUUGAUUAUCAAAGAUUUAUCGCUGAAAGAUGAGCUCGCGUCAGAUUAGCUAGUUGGUAAGGUAACGGCUUACCGAGGCGACGAUCAGUAGCCGGACUGAGAGGUUGAUCGGCCACAUUGGGACUGAGACACGGCCCAGACUCCUACGGGAGGCAGCAGUGGGGAAUAUUGCACAAUGGAGGAAACUCUGAUGCAGCGAUGCCGCGUGAGGGAAGAAGGUUUUAGGAUUGUAAACCUCUGUCUUCAGGGACGAAAAAAGACGGUACCUGAGGAGGAAGCUCCGGCUAACUACGUGCCAGCAGCCGCGGUAAUACGUAGGGAGCGAGCGUUGUCCGGAAUUACUGGGUGUAAAGGGAGCGUAGGCGGGAUCGCAAGUCAGAUGUGAAAACUAUGGGCUUAACCCAUAAACUGCAUUUGAAACUGUGGUUCUUGAGUGAAGUAGAGGUAAGCGGAAUUCCUAGUGUAGCGGUGAAAUGCGUAGAUAUUAGGAGGAACAUCAGUGGCGAAGGCGGCUUACUGGGCUUUAACUGACGCUGAGGCUCGAAAGCGUGGGGAGCAAACAGGAUUAGAUACCCUGGUAGUCCACGCCGUAAACGAUGAUUACUAGGUGUGGGGGGACUGACCCCUUCCGUGCCGCAGCAAACGCAAUAAGUAAUCCACCUGGGGAGUACGACCGCAAGGUUGAAACUCAAAGGAAUUGACGGGGGCCCGCACAAGCAGUGGAGUAUGUGGAUUAAUUCGAAGCAACGCGAAGAACCUUACCAGGUCUUGACAUCGUAUGCAUAGCUCAGAGAUGAGUGAAAUCUCUUCGGAGACAUAUAGACAGGUGGUGCAUGGUUGUCGUCAGCUCGUAUCGUGAGAUGUUGGGUUAAGUCCCGCAACGAGCGCAACCCUUACUGUUAGUUGCUACGCAAGAGCACUCUAGCAGGACUGCCGUUGACAAAACGGAGGAAGGUGGGGAUGACGUCAAAUCAUCAUGCCCCUUAUGACCUGGGCCUCACACGUACUACAAUGGCUGUCAACAGAGGGAAGCAAAGCCGCGAGGUGGAGCGAACCCCUAAAAGCAGUCUUAGUUCGGAUUGUAGGCUGCAACCCGCCUACAUGAAGUCGGAAUUGCUAGUAAUCGCAGAUCAGCAUGCUGCGGUGAAUACGUUCCCGGGCCUUGCAC